AAGAGGUUGUCUAUGAAAAUGGAAUCUCUUACAUAGGUUUGGGGUUUUUUCCAUUUAAUUAAUUUAGAAUAUUUAUCCAUGGUUCCAUUAUUCAUGUUCUUUUCCUUCAUCCUCCCAGAGCUGAUGAGCAAUUCCACUGGGUUUUACAUGUAUCAUUUGCAUAGUUAUUUUUAAGUAGAGAAAAUAAAUUCAAAAUAAUAAUUUCAAAUCUGUCCUGCUUCUCUUCCUUUGAAUUUCUGUGAACUUCUUUGAAGUGACUUCUCUUCGGUGGCCGCUAGGUGGCGCUCUAAGCCAGGAAAAUCUGAGGUCAACUCUGACCCCCAUAUGACUCUGGACAAGUCAUUUAACUUCUGUCCACCUCCGUUUUAUUCCUCCGUAAAAUGAAAUAAUAAUAGCAUCUACCUCUCAGGGUCGCUAUGGGAAUCAGCUGAGAUACUAAAUUAUAAAAUGCUUGGCCACUAUCUAAACGUUAGUUAUUAAUAGUGGUAGUAGUAGUAAAGCAAUUAGCAUAGUGCCCUGCCAUAGCAGACAUUUAAUGCUUGUUUCCUUCCUCCUCUUCUGGGCAUUUAAAAAUAUUUCAUAGACAUUCUUUCCUUUCUUUUUGGGGGCAUCAUUAUUUUUCUCACUCCCCCUCCCCAAAAAAAGUUACGCCUCUCCCUUCAAACAAACCAACCCAGUGAAUCAAAAUAAAUCCGUAUCUCGAUUAUGUCGGACUACACGGGUCUCAUUCUGCGUUUCCUGCCUAGCAUUUCUCUGCCGGAAGUGGGGAAGCGUGCUUUCCGUGAUCCCGGUGCUCGGGAGUCCUGAUUGGUCAUUGCAUUCAUCAGCCUCCUAACGUCUUUCGAAGUUGGUUUUCGUUCCACGGGGGCAGCGGGAGGGGAUGCUGUGCCCACUCAGGUCACGUGCGGCCACCCGAGUUCGGCUGGAAGUCACCAGAAGCAUUCCAACACGAUCAUGUACAACACACCUUGGUCCAGUCUCCUUGCCACCACAGAGAGAGCUGCUAUCAACAUUUCGGAAUGGCGUGGAAGCCUGGGUUUCCCUUGGACACCCCAAACCCUGGAAGAGUUGCAAGUCACACAGAAAGCAGGAAAACUCCUGUCCUUCCUUGCAUUCCUGUUAAUGCUGAGGAAAAGGUGGCUCGCAAUCGGGAAAGACCCCUGAGAGAAGGGUUCUCAUGGGAUUCUCGCUGUUAAGUAAGUGUGGAGUUUUAAUGAAAAUUCAAUAACUAUGUAUUCACUUUUAUAAGGAUUUUUAUUAACAAUAACUAAAGCAAAAAAAAAUGCCUGAACCAGGCCCAGUGGCGGGUCAACGAGAGAGGCAGAGGGAGGAGGUGCAGCCCGCCUCGAUCUUGAGAUGGCCGCAGAGAGCAUCUUCCAGUUGGGUUCUGGGACCGUCAGGUGGCGUCUAGGACCCUCGAGUGCCCUCUGAGCUGUGCCCAGGCACACAAAGCAUCACUUCCGCCCUGAUCAGGUAACAAACAUCCCCCGCCUCUGCCUCGGCUCGUUCCACCAUCCCUUCUCUAGCCGCAGCCCAUGUUGUCCAAGAGGUCUAAAAGGCCCAGGACAUCCCCUCCGGGACGCAGGACGCCCAGCCAAAUGCAGAUGGAUUCCAAAGGAAGCCACUUUAUCAUCCCAGCUAACACUGUUCGUCCAUUCCGAGGCUUAGGGAGCCUUCGAGGUGAGGUCGCUUACGUGAUCCUUGCAGCAACUCCAAGAAGAAAUCGCUGGUCGUCCCUCUUUUAAGGAUGAAGAAGCUGAGACGGACGCAGAUUGAGGAGCCAGUAUCCGGGGACGCUGAAGUCGGGCGUCUCCACACCACCUUCCCUUUUCUGUCCAGUCCUCCAAGCACUCCAGCUGCCAAAUACGAAGGCAGCAGAGAAUGAUUCGGAGGUCGUCCCUCUGAGGCUGGGAGUGGGUCGGCCUCAUUUUUUAAAAUCUUCCUUAUCCAUGGCAAGAGCUUUCCAAAAACGGACCCUUAAAAUGGGGUUUCUGGAGCAGAACUGAUUGCUGAAUGAUGAAAUGCUAAUGCCCUUUGGGAGGGCCACGAAAGCCUCAGCCCACCCCUCUUAGAAGUUCAAAUCUCGGGGGCAGCUGGUGGCUCAGUGGAUGGAGAGCCGGGCCUAGAGAUGGGAGAUCCUGGAUUCAAAUCUGGCCUCAAACACUUGUCUCUAUGACCCUGGGCAAGUCACCUUGCUCCCAUUGCUUAGCCCUGACCGCUCUUCUGCCUUAGAACUAACCUAUAAUAUUGAUUCUAGAUUGGAAGGUGAGGCUUAAAAAAUAAAAAUAAUAUAAACAUAGAGAAACUUAUUGAG
ensembl:lncRNA